UUAUGUGAUCGUCUCUCGCAUAUCAAUAAGCGGAGGAAAAGAAACUAACAAGGAUUCCCUUAGUAACGGCGAGUGAAGCGGGAAGAGCUCAAAUUUGAAAUCUUCAAGGUUUUACCUUGACGAAUUGUAGUUUAAAGAAGUGUUUUCUGUUGAAGUUUUGGUAAAAGUUCUUUGGAAUAGGACAUCAUAGAGGGUGAGAAUCCCGUAUUUGACCAUUAUUUUCAGCUGUGUGAUACACUUUCAAAGAGUCGGAUUGUUUGGGAAUGCAGUCCAAAAUGGGUGGUAAAUUUCAUCUAAAGCUAAAUAUUGGCGAGAGACCGAUAGCGAACAAGUACCGUGAGGGAAAGAUGAAAAGAACUUUGAAAAGAGAGUUAAACAGUACGUGAAAUUGUCAAAAGGGAAGCGUUUGACACCAGUGUUGUUUUCUCGAAAAUCAAUUAAAAAGAGUUAGAUUUUGUUGUGUAUUGACCUUAACAGCUUGCAUUUCAAUCUUCUUGCUUUUUUUAAUGCACUUUUCGUUUAACAAGUCAACAUCAGUUUCUUUUGUUGUAAAAAGGUCAUUGGAAGGUGGCUUUCUUUUCGGAGAAAGUGUUUAUAGCCUUUGACUCCUGCAAUCGGAGAGACUGAGGUCUGCAGCGUAGAUCCUUCGGGGUUAGAUACAUUUGUGCUAAGUUAUAGCUUUUUAUAGACAACUUGUUGACUAUGAUUAGUCUUGUAGCUUACUCGCUUAUGCUAUUUUACCUACGCUUAGGAUGUUGAAGAUGUAGCACAUCAU
rnacentral:rRNA from 1 species